rnacentral:tRNA from 1 species
GCAUUGGUGGUUCAGUGGUAGAAUUCUCACCUCCCAUGCAGGAAACCUGGGUUCGAUUCCUGGCCAAGCA